UGUUUUUUGUUUUAUUCAACGCCUGUGCGUAUGAAAACAGACGAUCAGUCAGAGGUCGAAGGAGUAGGGCACCCGCUCGUUGAUUUUUUAACUCACCAGACGCCUCAGCUGAUAGGAGAUACAAAGACAACGAGCACGCCACACCUUCUACCUGUCGCUUCAACACCAACACCAACACCAACGUUUGCUCUCCCCUCUGGGUCUUGGCCUUUGUGGGAGACAUUGACGCCGGUUUCCUCAGUACCUCUGGAUCUACUAUCCGGACCGUUCCCUGCUGAAGACUCGACGUCGGCAUCUGGGCUAUCCGCACCUCCACAGCCACCGUCGCCGAC